UCGACGAGGGGACGAGCCGCCGAUAGAUUGCGGUCGCUCACCGCGAGUCUGCUGUGUCCGGCCGUCGCCGCUUGUUUCGCUACCGCAGCAGCCUCAUCUCGCCAUCCCUCAAUAUUUUCCAAGAUCAUCUUUAGAGCUACGACAUGGAUCCGUACGUGGUCGUUACUCACUCCUACGGACUUCAGAGAGCCUUUGGUUAUUGGGUGCAACCGUUGGGAGAUGGUAGCGCGGGGUAUCUUCAACCGGUUUGGAUGGUGGCCUACUAAUAGGAUACGUGUCUAGUCAUCGUAUCCUGUUGUUAUGCCGGUUGUGGCUUUUUGAUUUCAGACUUUUUUUUAUUUUGCUCUGUUUGCGAGCUGAACUAUUUUCAGACUUUGUAUUUCGUUGGCACUUUUUAAUAAUAUAGCCGUAUGCAUCUGUCGGAUGCAGAGGCCGGGGUUGAUCCUCCUUCUUAAAAAAAUAAAAGAAUGCUAGUGCCUGUGACUCA